GCUGGGGUGGUGGAACGGUAUACACGAGAGGCUUAAAACCUCUUGCCCAUUAGGGCUUGCGGGUUCGAGUCCCGCCCCCAGCA
rnacentral:tRNA from 1 species